UAGUAUGAACGGCUAACUGAGGGCCUAACUGUCUCCUUUGGCCAAUCAAUGAAACUGAUCUUCCAGUACAAAAGCUAGAAUAACCCCACAAGACGAGAAGACCCUGUGGAGCUUCAAAUUAACACACCAAGGCCCCCCCCCCAAACCAACACGGCUCAACCACAAACAACUAAUGGUGUAAAUUUUGAGUUGGGGCGACUACGGAAUAAAAAAAACCUUCCAUGCACCAGGGCCCACACCCAUUAAAGGUCAACAAGCCAACAAUACCAAAUAAAAUGACCCAGUAAAACUGACCACCGAACCAAGUUACCCCAGGGAUAACAGCGCCAUCCUCUUCUAGAGUCCCUAUCGCCAGGAGGGUUUACGACCUCGAUGUUGGAUCAGGAUCCCCAGGUGGUGCAGCCGCUACCAAUGGUUCGUUUGUUCAACGAUUAAUAUCCUACGUGAUCU
rnacentral:rRNA from 1 species